rnacentral:tRNA from 1 species
AAAAAGAGCUCAGUUGGUUCGAGCAUCUGCCUUACAAGCAGAGGGUUUCAGCGAUUUUAAAGCUGGAACCCUUUUUUUUGCA